UGGCGAACGGGUGAGUAACACGUGAGUAACCUGCCCUUGACUCUGGGAUAAGCCUGGGAAACCGGGUCUAAUACUGGAUACGACCUUCCCGCGCAUGCGGUGUUGGUGGAAAGCUUUUGUGGUUUUGGAUGGACUCGCGGCCUAUCAGCUUGUUGGUGGGGUAAUGGCCUACCAAGGCGACGACGGGUAGCCGGCCUGAGAGGGUGACCGGCCACACUGGGACUGAGACACGGCCCAGACUCCUACGGGAGGCAGCAGUGGGGAAUAUUGCACAAUGGGCGCAAGCCUGAUGCAGCGACGCCGCGUGAGGGAUGAAGGCCUUCGGGUUGUAAACCUCUUUCAGUAGGGAAGAAGCUGAUUCCUUUUGGGGUUGGUGACGGUACCUGCAGAAGAAGCGCCGGCUAACUACGUGCCAGCAGCCGCGGUAAUACGUAGGGCGCAAGCGUUAUCCGGAAUUAUUGGGCGUAAAGAGCUCGUAGGCGGUUUGUCGCGUCUGCCGUGAAAGUCCGGGGCUUAACUCCGGAUCUGCGGUGGGUACGGGCAGACUAGAGUGCAGUAGGGGAGACUGGAAUUCCUGGUGUAGCGGUGAAAUGCGCAGAUAUCAGGAGGAACACCGAUGGCGAAGGCAGGUCUCUGGGCUGUAACUGACGCUGAGGAGCGAAAGCAUGGGGACCAACAGGAUUAGAUACCCUGGUAGUCCAUGCC
rnacentral:rRNA from 1 species